rnacentral:rRNA from 1 species
ACGAAGUCUUCGGACUGAGUGGCGGACGGGUGAGUAACACGUGAGAACCUGCCUUAAGGUCGGGGAUAACAGUUGGAAACGACUGCUAAUACCGGAUGUGCCUACGGGUGAAAGAUUUAUUGCCUAAAGAUGGGCUCGCGUCUGAUUAGCUAGUUGGAGUGGUAAUGGCACACCAAGGCGACGAUCAGUAGCUGGUCUGAGAGGAUGAUCAGCCACACUGGGACUGAGACACGGCCCAGACUCCUACGGGAGGCAGCAGUGGGGAAUUUUCCGCAAUGGGCGAAAGCCUGACGGAGCAAGACCGCGUGAGGGAGGAAGGCUCUUGGGUUGUAAACCUCUUUUGUCAGGGAAGAACACAAUGACGGUACCUGACGAAUCAGCAUCGGCUAACUCCGUGCCAGCAGCCGCGGUAAUACGGAGGAUGCAAGCGUUAUCCGGAAUUAUUGGGCGUAAAGCGUCCGCAGGUGGUUGUACAAGUCUGCUGUCAAGGCGCGGAGCUUAACUCCGUAAAGGCGGUGGAAACUGUGCGACUAGAGUUCGGUAGGGGUCGCGGGAAUUCCCAGUGUAGCGGUGAAAUGCGUAGAUAUUGGGAAGAACACCGGUGGCGAAAGCGCGCGACUGGACCGAGACUGACACUCAUGGACGAAAGCUAGGGGAGCGAAAGGGAUUAGAUACCCCUGUAGUCCUAGC